rnacentral:rRNA from 1 species
UACGGAGGGAGCUAGCGUUGUUAGGGAUUACGGGGCGUAAAGCGCGCGUAGGCGGCUUUUUAAGUCAGGGGUGAAAUCCCGGGGCUCAACCCCGGAACUGCCCUUGAAACUGGAUGGCUAGAAUACUGGAGAGGUGAGUGGAAGUCCGAGUGUAGAGGUGAAAUUCGUAGAUAUUCGGAAGAACACCAGUGGCGAAGGCGACUCACUGGACAGUUAUUGACGCUGAGGUGCGAAAGCGUGGGGAGCAAACAGG